AUGAGGGCGAGGCGGGGCCGCCACCUGGGCCAAUCCCCGGGGGACCCCUCGGCCGCGGCCCAAUGGCUCGGCGCUGGGCGGACUACCUGUCGGGCGGGGCGCGCCCCACCUGCGGCCAAUGGGAGUGCGCGUGGCCCGGCUCUGCCCGGCAACCGAAGUCGGCGCGGGAGGCCGGGGGACACCGGGACUGCCCGCGGGGCGCCCCCUGCCCGCCCUGCGCGCCGGCCCCUCCGUGAGGUGGGCUCGGGGGCCGCGGUUCCUGGGUAGGGCCCCUGCGCUGCCGCGCCCCGGGAACUUGGUGGCAAUGCCAGCUCUCGGCCCCAGUCCGACUCGCUGAAUCAAACUCCAGCUGUCUGCGAACAAGCCCGGGUGAUUCUGGGCCGAGCGCAAGUCUCAGAGCAGCAGGUCUAGGGGACAGCGGGGAGGGGUCGCCGGUGACGUGAGGAGCGGGGGCGUGGCCAGAGGGCGCUCCGCCUCCUAGGAGCAAGAGUACAGUCGGCAGCUCAGACCCCCGACCGCGGAGGGCGCUUGGACAGUGUCCCCAGCGUCCGGCCAGCUUCCAGAUGUGGAGACCGAGGCUGCGAGGAGCAGAGAACCCGGCCGACGUCACGAUCCGGACUCAGCUGGUUCUUCCGACCCACCCGCCCUCCACCCCCUGAGGAAUCCAAGAUCCCAUUGCAGGAAAGGCUUGUCUACACUCGCUGGCCGGCUCCCUCUGCUCCAGUUCGCCCUUCCGCCCGGGACAAGGAGACUGCAUUUGCGCAGGCCGCCCAUGACCUUCAUUUCUGAGUCCACAGCCUCUCUGGGUCUUACUGAUUCCGUGGCAUUUGAUCUGAUGCUUCCUGGCGUCUCCUCGGUGCCCGGCGCUGGAGUGACGCUGGGGAACCCAAUGGACACAUCCCUGUGGUCAUAGAACCAUAUUCUCCCCAGAGGUGGGCACACAGAAUCCUGUUGACAGCCUACCUCUCACCUCCUUAAAGUGCUGUGAACUCUCCCCUUAAAAAAACCUCUGCACCCUCCCCCCCCCCCCCCCAUUUCUCCACUCCUCUACAAGGAAACUCCUGCCAGGAGCUGUGCGCAGCCCCCGCUCCCCCUACUGUCACCAUCAACUCCUAUGUUUUAAAUACAAUGGCCAGUUUUCGGG